UAGGGAAUCUUCGGCAAUGGGGGGAACCCUGACCGAGCAACGCCGCGUGAGUGAAGAAGGUUUUCGGAUCGUAAAGCUCUGUUGUUAAGGAAGAACGAGUGUGAGAAUGGAAAGUUCAUACUGUGACGGUACUUAACCAGAAAGGGACGGCUAACUACGUGCCAGCAGCCGCGGUAAUACGUAGGUCCCGAGCGUUGUCCGGAUUUAUUGGGCGUAAAGCGAGCGCAGGCGGUUAGAUAAGUCUGAAGUUAAAGGCAGUGGCUCAACCAUUGUAGGCUUUGGAAACUGUUUGACUUGAGUGCAGAAGGGGAGAGUGGAAUUCCAUGUGUAGCGGUGAAAUGCGUAGAUAUAUGGCGGAACACCGGUGGCGAAAGCGGCUCUCUGGUCUGUAACUGACGCUGAGGCUCGAAAGCGUGGGGAGCGAACAGG
rnacentral:rRNA from 1 species